rnacentral:rRNA from 1 species
GAUCAUGGCUCAGGAUGAACGCUAGCGGCAGGCUUAACACAUGCAAGUCGAGGGGCAGCGCGGGAUAGCAAUAUCCAGGCGGCGACCGGCGGAAGGGUGCGUAACUCGUGAGCGACAUGCCCGUUGCCCGGGGACAACCGGUGGAAACGCCGACUAAUCCCCGAUGGGAUAUUGUGCCGCAUGGCACGAUAUUGAAAGUUACGGCGGCGACGGAUUGGCUCGCGUCCGAUUAGCUUGUUGG